rnacentral:rRNA from 2 species
GGGUUGUCAUGCCAAUGGCAUUGCCCGGUAGCUAAAUGCGGAAGAGAUAAGUGCUGAAAGCAUCUAAGCACGAAACUUGCCCCGAGAUGAGUUCUCCCUGAGACUUUAAGUCUCCUGAAGGAACGUUGAAGACGACGACGUUGAUAGGCCGGGUGUGUAAGCGCAGCGAUGCGUUGAGCUAACCGGUACUAAUGAACCGUGAGGCUUAACCUUACAACGCCGAAG